rnacentral:tRNA from 1 species
AGGCAGUUAGUUUAAACCAAAACAUUUGAUUUCGGCUCAAAAGCCUGUGGUUCAAAUCCACAACUACCUA